rnacentral:rRNA from 1 species
CAGUGGGGAAUCUUGGCUAAUGGGCGGAAGCCUGAUCCAGCCAUGCCGCGUGUGUGAAGAAGGCCUUUUGGUUGUAAAGCACUUUAAGCGAGGAGGAGGCUCCUUUAGUUAAUACCUAAAGAGAGUGGACGUUACUCGCAGAAUAAGCACCGGCUAACUCUGUGCCAGCAGCCGCGGUAAUACAGAGGGUGCGAGCGUUAAUCGGAUUUACUGGGCGUAAAGCGUGCGUAGGCGGCUUUUUAAGUCGGAUGUGAAAUCCCUGAGCUUAACUUAGGAAUUGCAUUCGAUACUGGAAAGCUAGAGUAUGGGAGAGGAUGGUAGAAUUCCAGGUGUAGCGGUGAAAUGCGUAGAGAUCUGGAGGAAUACCGAUGGCGAAGGCAGCCAUCUGGCCUGA